rnacentral:rRNA from 1 species
GAAGACCAAGGGUUCCAGGGUAAAGUUUGGCUCCCCUGGGUAAGCCGGGUCCUAAGCCGAGGCUAGAUGGGGUAGGCGAAUGGAAAACGGAUGAAGAGUGCUGUGCCACUGAUAUCAAGUGAUGGAGGGACGCAGGAGGUUAUGCACGCUGGCGAACGGAAGGGCCAGUUCAAGCAUGUAGCGUGGUGUAGUAGGAAAAUCCGCUAGACUAAACGUGAGGUGUGAUGAGGAGUCGUAAGAUGGAAGGUGCAAAUACCACACUGCCGAGAAAAGCUUCUAAGCGUUAGAAAGAAAUUAGUGCCCGUAACCCAAACCGACACUGGUGGUCAGGAUGAGAAAUCUAGGGCGGACAGGCUAACUCUCGUUAAGGAACUCUGCAAAAUAGCCCCGUAACUUCGGGAGAAGGGGUGCCUUUUAUGGUGAGCGUAC